UCUUCUUGUCCUGGUAGUUCUUGGACUCAUCCACGAUCUUCUGAAACAUCGCUCUCUUCCUGAACCCAGGGAACAAGGGAGGUGCAGUGCUCACACACCCAGUGCUCACCCGCUGCAUCAGAACCCUGCUCCGCAGGAUACGGCCCUGCCGUCCUGCGGACGCUGCGUCCCCAGCGCCCACAGCAGAAACCGAGGGUUGUUGGUGCCGCGGUGGUCGAUGUCAUGGCACAGGCCGGCUGUCACCAUGGCGAAGGCCUCCAGGAGGGCCUGCACAACCCUGGUGAUUCUGGCAGCCACGUACCAUGAGCAGCGUGAACAUCGUCUGGGCCACGUUGAAGCCGUGGCGCCAGUUGUGGUAGGUGAUUCUCCGGUACCCUUUGCUGAUGGAGAACAGGAACCGCACCAGGACCUGGGGGAGCCGAGAGGACACAGGGCUCCGGCGGCAAGCGUGUAAGUCCCGCCAGAGCGGCACCUGUGGCUGACUUCACAGUGGAAGCCCUGCUCCGUGCCAUCAUCCCCACACCGUCUCCUGGACUUCCCGAUCUUCCCCAUCCCUGCGUUUCCCACUGGCCUCUGCUGGCCUUCCUGGGUAGGGGCUGCCACAUUGGCACCUAUGGGGUGGAGCCAGGUAGGGCAGGAGCUGAGAACAGCCCCAGCCUUCAGGGGCCGCCCAGCCUCCAUCCGACUGCCUGGCCUCAAGCUGGGAGGAGGACCCCUGGGGAUGCAGCAUAUUUUAAGAUGUUGGUUUUAGGCAUGGACAUUUGAAUGAGCAGAAUGUGUGGGCUGCAGGCUGGGGUGGGAGAACCGAUGUCCGCAGGGCAAGAGAAUGCUGGUCUCUCUUGCCCUGCGGACAUCGCCAGGAGGCUCUUCCUGCGGCCAUUGUGAUUUUUAGGGUCAGAAAAUUAUUUGGAAAUAUUUUUUAUUCUGCAAAUAUUUUCUAUACAUUUUUUCUUGAGUGUUUUCCCUUAGUAUUUAGUAAAACUUCUUUUGAAAAUGCUGGCCUGCUGCACCUGUUCUCAGAGGGGCAUGAGAAAAGAGGAUUCUCUUCCUAGGGCUGUGGGAAGCCCCUUGAGAUGUUGGAAGCAGGGCAGGGCAGGAGAACCCAGGGAGGGCACAGAGCUGUGGACGAGGGCUGGGAAAGCCAUCCCGCCUCCCCAGGGGGUCUCCGAGGAGUGCUGCUGUGGCCAAACCAGGGGGGCCACUUUGUGCUUUCUGUUUAGGUGAUGGGAUGCUUCUAUCUCCUCAGCACCCCACACCAAAUCCCCUGUUAUUGCCAGAUGAUGUGCCUAAUGAUCAAAUUGCUUGGAACUCCUAAUAAUAAAACUUUAAAUCUA
rnacentral:lncRNA from 1 species